UAACCUAUUCUAGGUUGCUCACAUACCUGAUCCUUUUUGUUCGCGAAGUCUUCUGUUAGAUGGGCAGAACUGUUAACUACCCUGCGCAAUACAACCUCAAACGCUGAUUGUGGUCUUAUUCUCAGAGUCUCUAACUACAACUGACGAACGCAAGAAAGUCUUUCAGAACCAGCAAGAAGCUUUCCUUCUGUCUUAAGAAUGGAGAAUGCCAAUGGAAUACUAAGAAAGAUUUUUAAAGCAAAAAAGACCAUGCCCUCAUGUAAUCGUGAACAAUUUAAAUUUUUAAUAAGUACCAAAAAAAAAAGUGUUGCCUUGCAAAUGCCUGAAAGAGUAGAGCAUGGAUCCAUUCUGCCCAGAGAAAAGCUCCUUCAUGACGGAUGUUCACAUUCUCAACGCUUUCCACCUUAUUUUUGUAAGUCCCAUAUGGAGGAGCCCAGUAACGCUACAGAUUCACCAGUAGCAAAGAGUGAUUUCCCACUGGACAAACCUCUGAAAUCUGAAACGGCAGACCCUCUGCCAGUAGGUAGAGACAGAGAAGGCAACAUAGCCAAAGGACAGAAGGAGAAUUCCAGCCAAUGUGAAAAAAAUCCACAGCAGAAAGAUAUCUGGAAAUGGUCCAAGCUUAGCUCUUUGGGUGACAAGGAUGUAAACUGUAAUGUCACUUGUUCUACACAUGGCCAAGGCGCCAUUAAAUAGGACAUGGAUGAGGACGAUGGCUUGAUGCCGGUUUGGUUUAAAAUGGCUUUAAAACAUGACUUGGGAGACCAUGUCUUUGAUGGAUCACGGGAAGCAGUUUUGAACAUGUGUCAGAGUACCAAAGAGUGCAAGGAGCUCCACAUAAAAGGAAAUCUCAUGUAGAUGCAAGUUUGCAUAAACGUUUGAAAAAAUUCUUCAUGUGAAUCUUGCGAAGUUGAUGCCUUAAGUCUGUCAUCCAGAAUCGUGGAAAGAGUGGAUGGUUGAGAACAUCCAGAAAUUGAUAAAACAUGAAAGUGUUGAAAUUGGUAAACAAUUUGAAAGCAAGUUUGAGGAACUUGGAGACAGAAUUAAAAAAAUGGAGUGCAACAUUAAGCAUGAAUUAGUCAUAUUCAAUAUCCAG